UGGGGAAUAUUGCACAAUGGGCGGAAGCCUGAUGCAGCGACGCCGCGUGGGGGAUGACGGCCUUCGGGUUGUAAACUCCUUUCGACAGGGACGAAGCGCAAGUGACGGUACCUGUAUAAGAAGCACCGGCUAACUACGUGCCAGCAGCCGCGGUAAUACGUAGGGUGCGAGCGUUGUCCGGAAUUACUGGGCGUAAAGAGCUCGUAGGUGGUUUGUCGCGUCGUCUGUGAAAUUCCGGGGCGUAACUCCGGGCGUGCAGGCGAUACAGGCAUAACUUGAGUGCUGUAGGGGAGACUGGAAUUCCUGGUGUAGCGGUGAAAUGCGCAGAUAUCAGGAGGAACACCGAUGGCGAAGGCAGGUCUCUGGGCAGUUACUGACGCUGAGGAGCGAAAGCAUGGGUAGCGAACAGG
rnacentral:rRNA from 1 species